ensembl:lncRNA
UGUGUCCUCUCUAGAUUUAUUAAUCAUGUCUUGCACCAUGAGCAAAAUCUUUGCUGUUAUCUGAGUAAUUAUUUCUGAUUUCAUUUUUCCCAGAUCCUCUUUUGUUGCCUGUUCAGAGAGUCCAGGUGGUUGAGUAUCAGAUUGUUCCAUCUCAUUUCCCUUUGGGGUUGCUGUAGGUGAUCCAGAAGUCUGUUUUAGAGACUUGUUUACAUGUCUUCUCAUUUCCACUGGAGGGGGUGCUUCUGGCGCCCAUGUGGCUCACCUUCUCUGCCCUAGGAGCUUGGGAUGGCAGAGGGGGAGCUUCCUUCUGGGUGCUAGGACCGCCUGAACUUCUCUGCCCUAGGAGCCUGGGAUGGAGGUGGGGAGCUUCCUUCUGGGUGCUGGGCCCGCUGAGCUUCUCUGCCCUAGGAUCCUGGGAUGGAGGCGGGGAGCUCAAAUCCAUUUUUUAAUUAGCUGAUAGCAUUUGAAAGAAUCAAGACAUUUAACAUGAAAAAAUUCUUGCUUUUUUUUAAAAAAAGACUCUCUGGUUACACUCCAGUUUGGAUACCAAUAUAAUAAUAUUUUUUUAUAUGUGGUGUGACCUCUGUUAUUUGUCAUAGUCACUGCUAAACUAUCUUCAUAUUAUUAUAAGCUUGGCCCAUGAAGUCAUCUAAGAUUGUGUCCUCUAAACUCAAACUACAACCUCCCCCGCUUUGAUCAUGGGGCUUUGGUCUUGGCUGUUGAUUCUGGUACCUGAGACCCAGAGCUGAGUGGGUGACAUAGUAUGUUUAGCCCUACAAGGGUCAGGACCUAAAUGAGGCCAAUCAGAGUCCCCUCCAUUUUUUUUUUUUUUUUUUUUUAGACAGGGUCAGCCUGGCCUUGAACUCAUGGCAAUGAGUCUGCUUCAGUCUGGGUUUUCAGACAUGUGCCACCAUGUUGGGCCAGAGUUCCUCUUAAGAAUGCAUUAAGAAUGAAGUGGGAGAAGAAAGGGCCUUAGUCACAAGAGGCCAAUUUGUAGGAAUGAAGCAAGCAAGAGCGGAGAAGCAGAGACAAAAGGUAGAGAGAGAGAUUGUGAUAGAAUCCAAGACAUCAGAGCCCAGUGCCAACAUGUUCAAUUGUCCAAGAAUUCACCUCCUACAGCAUCUCUGGCCCAGGCACUAUGCCACCUCCUACCUUAGCUUCCAUUUCCAGCAACAAGGUGUUUAAACAAGUUUCCAUUAAAAAAUGAAGACAAGUUUUGGAUGAUCCAUUAGGAGCAGAAUAACCCAAAUUAAGAAAAAAAAUGUGGAUUUUUAAAAAAGUUAAGUCUAGCAACUUUCAAAUUGCAGCCAAAACAAUUAAAGUUGUUGAUACUCAGUCCUGCCAAAGCAGGACUUUUACAUGGUUGCUUCCUUGGCCCCACCUUGCUUCCCCAGAUGAAGGACACCUCUGUGAGGAAGCAGAGGAGGCAGACUGGUCCCCAGGAAGCCUAGUGGCUUCCUCUGGCUUUGGCAAGGAGCCCUACACAGAGUUGCCCUUCUCAGGGUCUUCAGGCCACCCCAGGCCUUGUGGCUUAGCAGCAGUAGGUGGGCCUUGCUCAGACUCAGGCAGGACCAGACCAGUGAUGCCUAUUCCUUUGGUGGACUCUUGCAAACAGUGCUCAACGGUGGGCACCUGGGAAGAAACGCUGUCCUGCUUGUACUCCCCAUGCUGGCCGCACACCAGUGGGAAGUUCCUGGCAAGCCUCCAUAUGUGCCCAGGGGUAUAGGCACCUCCUGGGGAAAGACUUCUCUAGGGAGCUUGUCCAGUGCCUGCUCACCCUGAGACAGGGAGGCCCGAGGCAGGGGAGCCACUGCUGGUCCUUUGCCCCCUUUUCACCUCUGUUCUACCCAAAGUGCCCUGAUUCUUUGGGGACAACAAUUUGGGCAGCUAAGGAUACUACAUUCAUUUAUUUCCUGCUGCCCUUGGAGUUGGAGUGAGCAGGUGAGCAACAGAAGGAGAGGCAGAGGUUCUGGAGUGGGAUGUCUAAAAAAGUUGCUGCAAAGUGGCAGUGGCCUAUGGGACAUGUCUGGACCCCUGGCCUUGCCCCCUUCCUUGCCCGGCCCAUGGACCAGAUAUCUGUAACCCUGUGGGACAGCUGUCCUGUGACCAUGUACUGGAAAGAGUAUGUUCAGCAUGUCAAAGAGAAAACUGUAGGGAGUACCCCACCUCUAGCCUGCCAGCUCUUACUUACUGCCUGGGAACAUUUCAUUCAGUAAAAAUCAGGGCGAGUCCCUAUUUUUUGCAGUCACUGUGCAUGGACUUCUGCAGCAACCAAAUGAUGAUUUUCAUUAGAUGAAUAGCCAAGAGGAAGAAACUACCUGAAUAAUAAGGGCAUGAAAUCAUAGAUCCACCCAAUGUAAUGUUUGUAGAAGCCAAGCAUGCCUGUGUUGGGCUAUCUACAGGCAACAAUGCCUUGCCCUGUCUGGUGCACCUGUGGUCUCCAGUUCAUCCAGGAAGCACAGUUGUAAGCCACACCAAAGUCAUGCAGAAAGUCUUGGCUCUUACUAACUGGGUAGUCUUGUGUCUCAGUUUCCUCCCUUGUCAGAACGGGAUCCUGUAUUCUGGAGAAAAGCAAAUGAGGUGACAAACAUGCAGGCACAAGGCCAGGCCUGCAAUGGGCACUUAACAGGUCCACCUCUUUGCUCUUCCUUACUGUCCUUUCCCCCUCAGGCAACAGUCAGCUCUCCCAGUCUACAAUGGUCCCUCCUUAAUCUGAAGGGGAUGUGUUCUAAGACCUCUAGUAGGUACUUGAAACUGGGGCUAAUGCCAAGCCCUAUAUAUCCUAUGUCUUUAUUCAUUUAUUUUGGAGUACUUAGGAUUGUUAAACAAGCAUUCUACCACUAAGCUACAAUCCCAGGCAUUUGAAUUUUUUAUAUUAAGGCAGAAUCUUUCUAAGUUGCUCACACUGGCCUUAAACUUAAGAUCCUCUGGACUCAGCCUCUCAAGUAGCUGGGAUUACAGGUGUGCACCACCGUGUCUGGACUGAUUUUUCCUACACAUACAUAUAAUAAAGUUUGCUAUAAAUUAAGUACACUACAAGAUUAACAAAAAUAAUAAAGUAGAAUAAUUAUAACACUAUACUAUACGUUAG